rnacentral:sRNA from 1 species
GUUGGACAGAGGAAGAGACAGAAGAUUCCACUGUGCGUCUAGCCUUAUUCAAAAACAAUGAAAAUAAAGUGUCUGUUCCAAAAUCACCAAAUAUGGUACAGCCCAGAAGAGAUGGUUACUUCGAAGUGAAUUUUGUUUAGUUUGCUUUCUUUUGGAACCAAGUAUAGAAGAAGACCCUAUCCACAAAGAUACCACUGCAAAUGAAACAUUAGAAAGGAAUAGAGAAUAUACAUACCAAUGGCUUCACACACAGGUUGGGGUUCAUGAAACGACUAGUUCCAGAAAUAUGAAAUGCAAUCACUUUUUGCCUGAGUUAGAUCCAGAUGUACUUAAUGGUGGAAGAGUUCAGCUUGUGGCAAGACUUGUAAGCAGAGAAGACACGGAUUUAGACCUUUUUUCCAUGACCAGUGGAAGUGCUUUGUCUGUGAACAGAGAAAAAAAAAAUCAGGCACACAGACACUCAGCAGGAUCUUCAAGUUGUUCAGUUAAGGGAAUACCAAUAUCGCCAAUAAUAACAAAUACAAGACCUUCUAAAAAAGAACGUAUAUCAUUCCGAGACAAUCCUGUACAACUCAGUGGUGGAUGGGGAAGUGGCAAAAAGAAGGCGAACAUUUCCAACUAAUUCUUAAGGCUUCAGCAUUCAAAACAUGUGGCAAACUCUUUCAUGAAGUCUGGAUAUCUAGUCAUGUUACCAAUUGGAUACAAGUUUUUAGAGUCCUAUAUUUAAUUUGGUUUAUUAUACAUAUUUCACAAGUUUGUUUUCUAAUGGAGCUAUCUUAUUUCUCA